rnacentral:rRNA from 1 species
CCUACUGGAGGCUGCAGUGGGGAAUAUUGGGCAAUGGACGCAAGUCUGACCCAGCAACGCCGCGUGAAGGAAGAAGGCUUUCGGGUUGUAAACUUCUUUUAAGGGGGAAGAGCAGAAGACGGUACCCCUUGAAUAAGCCACGGCUAACUACGUGCCAGCAGCCGCGGUAAUACGUAGGUGGCAAGCGUUGUCCGGAUUUACUGGGUGUAAAGGGCGUGUAGCCGGGAAGGCAAGUCAGAUGUGAAAUCCGGAGGCUCAACCUCCGAAUUGCAUUUGAAACUGUUUUUCUUGAGUACUGGAGAGGCAGACGGAAUUCCUUGUGUAGCGGUGAAAUGCGUAGAUAUAAGGAGGAACACCAGUGGCGAAGGCGGUCUGCUGGACAGCAACUGACGGUGAGGCGCGAAAGCGUGGGGAGCAAACAGGAUUAGAUACCCGUGUAGUC